GGUUUUAAGCCGUGAAAACAACUUUUUGUAGAAAUGUUAGGUAAGGCCGCGUAUAAUAAACUCUUAUAAUACACACCAUAGAGGAACCUUUUUUCGAAUUUUGCACAACAUAGAAAAAGCUUUAAUUCAUCAAAUUGGUUGUAUUUUUAGGUUAUUUAUGUGUCACUAAUUAAGUUGUGAGCACAUCAUAUAAAUAAUUUCACAACUUGUCUGUGAAUCUUACCUAUGUUAUUUUAUCAUAAUUCUAUGCUUUGGAUACUUUUGUAUACUGUCGGGGUCUAUUGGAAAUAGUUUCUGUACCUCUUUUGAGGUAGUGGUAUGGACUGCGUACACUAUUUCCUCCCCAGACCCCAUUAUGUGAAAAUAUAUUGAAUUUGUUGUUAUUGUUAUUGUUGGCUGUGAAUCUUGAGGGAUUGCCAGGUGUUUUUAGGGAUAGGCGAAGAUUUGCCAUAAAUUCUGACAUAUUGUAAGGAUUUUAGCACAGCUUUUAAAAAAGGACAGUUCGGUGUGCUAAAAUUCGUCCUAUAUGUAGGGUAGGGUCCGAAAAAGAGUUCGACAAGUCACUCAAUCUGUCUAAUGAAGAAUUACCAAAUUAUUUAACCCCGAUUUCAUUGCUACUGCCGGCGUUACGCAACUACAAACAAUAUUAUUAUUUUUAAAAAAAAAAUUAUUAAAUGCUUUUUCUAUCUCAAUUUUUAAGAAAACGAUCAAAAUUUUGAGAUCAAAUUUCUAAAUUUUGAUCAUGAAUUUGGAUCUACAAGCCUUAAGUUAUUUAAAAUAUAAUUUAUAUAUUUAAAAAUUAUAUUCUCAAAAUUUAUUUAUAUUGUGUCAUAUAAAUUAGAACAAGUUUGUAUCGGUUAUCCACACAGUCUAUGCGGUUAUGGAUUGAAAAAAAAAAAAAGCAACCUAAUAAAUCUAUGUGCCAAGUAUUUGAUGCUUUAGGUGAGUUGUCUAAUACUUUCUUACGUCAAAGUAAAUAAAAAUAUCUUAUACGAAAAUCAAUAAAAAUAAAAAGAACAAAAAAAAAAAAAAAAGCUGUCAUUUACUCAUAUUCAAAGCCUUUAUAUUCAGACACAUCACCUCGAAAGAAAAAAAAAACUGAAGUACUAAAAUUCACACUGUUUUUUUCAAAGUUUUUAUUGAGUCAGAAACUAUAGUUCUGUUUCAACUUCAGAUUUUAAAGGGUUAUUUUUGUUGUUGUCAGAUCAAGGAAAUUCUUGUGUUUAAGUUGAACAACUUCUUGAAUCAAUGGGUUAUGUGAUUGUGAUAUCAUUGCCAGUGAUUCUGACCAUCCUCAUAGCAGCCCUAGCUUGUUACCUCUUUGGUAGGGCACGAGGUCGUCGAGAAGCCACCAUGGUUCCUCCAUAUUAUGGACCGCCACCACCAGCGCCUCCUCCCGGAGUCCAUUCUCCGCCACCCCAAAAAUAGACAUCUUUUUUUCUUAAUUGUUGCUUCUCAAUAUUGUAUAGGUCAUAUUUUGUUAAAAUUUCCAAAUAAAGCGCCUUAUUGCAAGUGUAUUUGUCUCGUUUCAAUUUUAUCGAAUAUCAUCAGAGGGUCUAAAGAAAAUUUUUCGAAUUGUGACAAAAUCAAAAUUUUAGUAGAGGCGAUUCUCCUUGUCAUUUGUCAUGUUAUUUAAAUUUGUGUAAGUUUGUUUAAUUGUAUGAAGAUCAAAUAAAGUGUCCUAUUGUAAGUGUA